rnacentral:misc_RNA from 1 species
AAAGUUAAUUACUUUUGUGCUCUUUAGGUUGUUCAGAAACUGUGUGCAUUUCAAAGACUAUGGAAGGAAGGAAACACAAAGCAGAUCCAACAAGAAAUUAGUUCAGCUCCAAGACAAAAACUUACACCGUGUGUCAAAAGCAAAGCAGUGACAAGUGACAGUGAUAGUGAUGAUGAUGAUGACAAUAAUGAGGCAGGUGCACGAGCUCUAUGUAAUGGACAUCACGAGGACGACAGGACAAACAAUUCUUCAGUAAGUCAACAACUCGACGAUCUUCACAUCUCCGACAAAAACACUCAACCUGAGCCAGACUGCUCACAGACAGAAACAAGAGGAAAUGAACGUUCAUCCAUUCAGUCGCAAACGCAAGAUCAAGACGAGGAAGGAUGGGAAGUCGUGCGGAGAUCGAAAAAACGUUAAAUGAUUGCCUCGAGCAAAUGAACUUACAUUUGAAUUUUAGAAAAAUAUAGAGUGUUUUUACGGCGGCCAUAUUAGUCCCAAACAAGAGAACCUUUUUUUCAAAAGAAAAGAAGUCAUUUCCCAAAGGAGGGAAAUGUUAUUGUUUCGGAACAAUAACAUGGCCGCCUUGACGUCACGUGAAUACUCUCCAAACCUUGCUGUAAAAAUAAAUGCUGAAUAAUAACAAACACGGUGAACCUUCUUUGAUUUCGCGCCCAUUUUCCAGAGCCUAACAGGUCAAAAGUAGCUGUCUCAUGGCCAGGAUUUUCUACUGCCUCUUUCAAAAUAUAUUGCGCUGGUAGUUGAAAUAUAAACCAGGUUGGCACUAAUAAUUCCUAUGUGCCACAUUCGAGUUAUGACUUUUUGUGUCCUCCUCUCGAUAUGGCUUCAGGCUAGCUUUAAAACGUUAGCGGACAAUAACCAUUUCAUUUCA